GCUACCUGCAGUCGGACGGUAGCACAGAGAGCUUGCUCUUGGGUGACGAGUGGCGGACGGGUGAGUAAUGUCUGGGGAUCUGCCCGAUAGAGGGGGAUAACCACUGGAAACGGUGGCUAAUACCGCAUAACGUCGCAAGACCAAAGAGGGGGACCUUCGGGCCUAUCACUAUCGGAUGAACCCAGAUGGGAUUAGCUAGUAGGCGGGGUAAUGGCCCACCUAGGCGACGAUCCCUAGCUGGUCUGAGAGGAUGACCAGCCACACUGGAACUGAGACACGGUCCAGACUCCUACGGGAGGCAGCAGUGGGGAAUAUUGCACAAUGGGCGCAAGCCUGAUGCAGCCAUGCCGCGUGUAUGAAGAAGGCCUUCGGGUUGUAAAGUACUUUCAGCGGGGAGGAAGGCGGUGA
rnacentral:rRNA from 1 species